rnacentral:rRNA from 1 species
GAUGAACGCUGGCGGCGUGCCUAAUACAUGCAAGUCGAGCGGACCAAAGAGAGCUUGCUCUCUGAGGUUAGCGGCGGACGGGUGAGUAACACGUGGGUAACCUGCCUGUAAGACGGGGAUAACUUCGGGAAACCGAAGCUAAUACCGGAUGAUAAAGAGAAACGCCUGUUUCUUUUUUGAAAGUCGGCCUUGUGCUGACGCUUACAGAUGGGCCCGCGGCGCAUUAGCUAGUUGGUGAGGUAACGGCUCACCAAGGCGACGAUGCGUAGCUGACCUGAGAGGGUGAUCGGCCACACUGGGACUGAGACACGGCCCAGACGCCUACGGGAGGCAGCAGUAGGGAAUCUUCGGCAAUGGACGAAAGUCUGACCGAGCAACGCCGCGUGAGCGAUGAAGGCCUUCGGGUCGUAAAGCUCUGUUGUCAGAGAAGAACAAGUACCGGAGUAACUGCCGGUACCUUGACGGUACCUGACCAGAAAGCCACGGCUAACUACGUGCCAGCCGCCGCAGUAA